ensembl:lncRNA
UGUUUUUUUAAAUUGUUUUUCUGAUGCACAGUGAGCUCUGUAUUCUAUCAAUUUUUAUAUGCUUCCAUUUCACAUAUGACUUCUCUCUGUUCAGCUAUACAUGACAUUUUUCUCAGUUGUGUGUUUCUGUUCUGUGCCUAGAACACUCUGGAGGGAAUUCUAGUGAAUGCUGUAUCUUUCCAGACUUUUGAAGAGUCUGCCAGAAUGGAGUCUGCUGCUGCGGGCAAGUCUUGGGAAGGAAGAGCCUGCCACAGAAGAUUCACAUCGCCCUCUGAAGCAACCCCCUCCCUUCUGGUAGUGUUUUGCUGCAAACAGGACAGGCUCAACAGGGGGAUCUGAAUCACAGUUUUACAGCUGGUGCCCUGAAGGCUUUCUUUGUUAUUAAACCUGGAUUAGAAUUAGGAUAAUCCUGCCUCAGGUGUGGGAUACCCAGACAGCCUGAUGUUGGCUUCAUUAGGAGAUCCUGAACCUCCAUCAGGGCUAUUGCCACUGCUUGUAACAAGCAGUGAUGUUCUAUAUGGUGUUUCAACACUAAGAGAAGGAGGCUCUUCAGUGACAGAUUCUGUCUCUAGGACAUGGAAGGCAACAGGGUGGUGGUUAAGAAUAUCUCAGAUUUCAGCUGUAAGUUUCCAGUCUUGACCAAACUGUUGCUGGACAUCUGUAGCCUCACUUGGUAAAAGGAUGAAGAAAGCUGAUAAAAAGGAACACAUCAUCUCCCUCUUGCACCAAACAUCAUACCGAGUCCCUCUUUUUUUGUAGCCUCUUCAUGGGCCUUCUCCUACGUUCCUUUCCACCUCUGGUUUACUAAUGAACUAGAUCUUCUAUGGAAUGAGUAUUUGUAUUGAACUCCUGCUAAUUUGUGAUGUUUUGAACUUAACUUCUCGAUCUAUCCAACAUAUCCUUCACCUGCUGUGGGGAAGGAAAAUACAUCUUAAAGGAGACACAUUUCCAUUUUGCUCCUGCUGUUGAGAAAAAGUCCUCUGGCCCACAUCCUGCAGAAUUACAUUCCUUUCAUCUGGCUUUUGAAGAACAGUGGGGACUUUCAAACUGAGUGGGCUUAAGAAAUAUUUUAUGGUAAACUGCUAAAUGAAUAAGCCAGCCAAAAUGUACUCGGUUUUUAAACGACACGUGUUAAUGUUUAGGUAAACAAAACAUAAAUUCAGCUGGAUCCUUCAUCAGGAAGAAACCUCAGAUAAUAACCCCUUGUUAACAAUUAGUUCCCACUUGGCUCUCUCUUUUCUCAUGUAAAUGAUAACCUGACAAGCCUAAGGAAACAGUGAAAUAAGCGUUUUUUAUUUUUAAGAUUUCGCACACAUAAAUCACCCUAUGAGUGUGGAACGUCAACUCACUGAAGGUACUGAAAAAUUUAUUAUUAUGAUAUGGUUAAAAUGGUAGAAUAGAAGAUCAACAUUUAUUGAAGCAGAAUUACAGAUAAUUAUUGCAUUUCUGCUGACAUAACCUAUCAGAUUUGAAGAUUUCUGUCUACUGUAUUACUAGAUUUUUUAAUCUUAUUAGUGGGUUUGCAUGUAUAGUGUUACUGAAUUUGUUAAUUCUUAAUCUGAUAUGAGAAAUUGUUAUGUAUUAAUCUUUUCAAUAAUACUUGCAAUUACAAAUUCUUAAAGCAUGUAUUAUAGGCAGA